rnacentral:rRNA from 1 species
GACGAACGCUGGCGGCGUGCUUAACACAUGCAAGUCGAACGGAAAGGCCCUGCUUGCAGGGUACUCGAGUGGCGAACGGGUGAGUAACACGUGGGUGAUCUGCCCUGCACUUCGGGAUAAGCCUGGGAAACUGGGUCUAAUACCGGAUAGGAGCCAUUUUUAGUGUGAUGGUUGGAAAGUUUUUUCGGUGUAGGAUGAGCUCGCGGCCUAUCAGCUUGUUGGUGGGGUAAUGGCCUACCAAGGCGGCGACGGGUAGCCGGCCUGAGAGGGUGGACGGCCACAGUGGGACUGAGAUACGGCCCAGACUCCUACGGGAGGCAGCAGUGGGGAAUAUUGCACAAGGGGCGCAAGCCUGAUGCAGCGACGCCGCGUGGGGGAGGACGGCCUUCGGGUUGUAAACUCCUUUCGCUAGGGACGAAGCUUUUUGUGACGGUACCUAGAGAAGAAGCACCGGCUAACUACGUG